GGAUAAUGAAGGGUAGAUCAAAUGCAUUCCAGAGAGCAAUUCAGUUUAGCAAGAAGCAAGAAUUUUUUUUUUUUUGUACUGGGGAUCGAACCCAGAAGUACCCUACCACCGGGCUGCAUCCCAGUCCUUUUUUUUUUAAUUCCCUUCGGUACUGGGCUACUUGACCACUGAGCCACAUUCCCAGCCCUAUUUUGUAUUUCAUUUAGAGACAGGUCUCACUGAGUCGCUUAGCGCCUUGCUUUUGCUGAGGCUGCCUUUGAACUCUUGAUCCUCCAGCCUCAGCUUCUCAAGCCGCUGGGAUUACAGGAGUGUACCACCAUGCCUGGCUCCCCAGUUCUUUUUAUAUUUUGAGAGAGGGUCUCCAAAAUUGCUCAUGCUGGCCUCUACUUUGCUAUCCUCCCUCAGUAGUGGGGAUGUGCCACUGUGCCCAGCUUUCUACAUGGUUUUCUGUACAUUGUGCUCACAAUCUGUUCUGGAGACAGAUUGAUUGAAUCAGAAGUAACUUUCCUGAGGAAGAUGUGUGGGCCUUCCAACUUGAGGCAGAGGGGGCAGUCUGGGCUUGAUCAGAUGAGUGCUGCCUGCUAACUUCCAUUAUUCUUGAGGCUAAAGAGGGCAUUGAAUUGCCUGUGGCCAUCUCAGCCACUACUGCCUGGAAGGGCAAGCUGCCUAGCUGGCCCCUUCAUGAUGCUGUGGCAACACCUGCCUAUGUUUGCGAAUGGAUUAGAGUUAUAGCUCUUCCAGAAAGGCUACAAGUGCUAAAGGGUCACAUAGAAUGGAAACUCCAUGUGACACCCCCCCUACACAUACACACACACAGUUUUGGGGUGGUACUGACACUGAGCUACAUCCCCAGCCCUUGCUAUUUUUGAGUCAAGGCUUAUUAAAUUGCCCAGGCUGGCCUUAGAGGCAUUAACUACUGUGCCCAUCUUAGUUUGGAUCUUAAGUGUCCCCCAAAGGUCCAGGUUGAAGGUUUUGGUCUCUAGCCCUUAGUACUAUUGAGAGGUGAAGGAAAUUUUAAGAUGUGGGGACUAAUGAGAGGUCUUCAGGUCAUUGGGGGCAUGCCCUUGAAGAUGAUUAUAGUAUUUUUUUGGUUUGGUUCUUUUUUCUUUUCCUUCCUAGCUAUAAAAUGAAUGGUUUUGCUGUUAACAUGCUCCCACCAUGAUGUCCAGCAGAGCCAACUGGCACUUAAUUCAGCCUCUAAAACUGAACCAAAAUAAACCUUUCACUGGGUAUGGUGGCAUAUGCCUGCAAUCCCAGCAACUUGGGAGGCCAAGGCAGGAGGAUCAAAAGUUCGGGCCAGCCUCAGUAAUUCAGCAAGGCUUAAGCAACUUGUGAGACCCUUUUCAAAAUAAAAAAUAAAAAGGUGGGCUGGGGUUGUGGCUCAGUGGUAGAGCGCUUGCAUAGCAUGUGUGAGGCAAUGGGUUUGAUUCUCAGCAUAGCUUAUAAGUAAAUAAAUAAAUGAAAUAAAG
rnacentral:lncRNA from 1 species